GUUAUUUUUAUUAUAGAAAAUUUUAUCUUUCAGAGGGAACGUCCGAUGGAAUAAUAUCCUACGUGUUCUAAUUAGCGACAGACGAGAGAGAGAGAGAGAGAGAAAGAGAGAAAAAAAAACAAAAACGAAACAAACGAAAAAAAAGAAAAGAAAGAAAAGUAGAAUACUGAAAAGUAUUUCGACGAGUGUUACAAAUAUAUAUCUCAAUAUUUUGUUUGAAGAAGAUUAAGGAACAUUUGCAAGUGGGAGAUUGGUGAGAAGAGAAAAAUAAAAAAAAAGGAAAAAAAAAAGAAGAAAGAAAAGAAAGAAAAGUAAAAAAAAAUACACACACACACACACACACACAUACAUACACAAUAUUGUCUCGUCAGACUUUCAAGCGUAAUAAAAAUCCUAGGACAUCGUACAGUUUUAACGAGCUUCGAUGAUACGCGCAGUGCUCGUACGUGGUCUUUUUCCAACUGCGUGAGCAACAUGCGAAUAACGUCAUCACGGACCUACUCGUAUACGCGUACAACCGCUAGUUCCAUUGCGGUUUACCUACAAAAAUAAAGUAAAAUGAGUUAAGGGAUGGAUACUAUUAACGGAAAAGAAGAAAGAAAUAGAUAGUCUUUGAAAAUACGAAUACAACGAUGUAACACCGCUCGGAUAAGAAGACAGAGAGUGGCAAAAGCAGCAGCACCAACACCAUCAGCGUCAGCAACACCAACAGGAGCAACCACAAAAAGAAAAAGCCGAGGAAGGUUGCGUGCUUCCUGCUGCCAGAGGCACUGUAUUAAGGAUUCAUGUUGGAUCCUGCAUACAGAUCAAGUGGAAGGAAGAAUGGAAGUAAGGAAGGAAGGAAGGAAGGAAGUCUACCUACGUAGAUACAUGCAUACAUGGUAGAGACGGUCGAUCGAGCACGGUUGAUCCCAAAGCCGUCUACCGUCAUCGAGAUAGCAUUUCCAGUAAAAGAACGAUCUCGAGAACUUGGGAAUGAGCAAAAAUGGGAACGGAAUCGGACAGUAGACAAAGGGAGGAAAGAAAAGUUACUAAUGUUGAUGGGAUGGAACGUCGGAAGGAAGACUAACUUCUUUUCUUCGUUCGUUUUAGGAUCGUUUUACGGCGAACGCCAUUUUAGAAGAGAAAGAGAAUGAGAGAGAGAGAGAGAAAGAGAGAGAGAGAGAGAGAGAGAGAGAGAAAGGAAAGAUUUGAUAAGAAGAGGUAGGAGAAAUGAGAGAAGAUGGAGGAAGUACUUCGAAUGGAGGAAGUAAUUAGAUCGAUAAUAACUUCCUAUUUGCUUAACUUAUCGGAUAUUUCGAGGAGCAUUAAUCCAUUAUAUGAAGUUCGGUAUACUAAUCCGAGUAUACCGAAAUCCGAGUACCGAACAAACAAGAGGAAACUAGAGACCACGGCGCGUUGUUCUCGAUGCUUACAUUCGGUCGAUGAGCUUUCCUACGAUAUUCUCAACUUGAUAUAUACACGCGGAUUCAACGUUUAGGACAACAGAUGUACUAGACAACUAUGCUCGUGUAUCGCCUUUCAUCGAGUUUUGAAGCUAUAUCUUUAUCAUACAGAUACUACCUAACGUACGUUACGUUACGCUUGAUUAAAGGAUUUUCCAUUAAUGAAACCAAUUCCUAAUUAUAGGACGAUAAUAGAAUUGAUAAGGAAGUAUGAUAAUAAAGUUAUAAGGGAUUUAUUUUAUUUUUUAAUCUAAAAUAAUAUUAUUAUAUAUCGUUGACUGUUAUUUAUUUAUUAAGGAAUAAUAUAACGAUGAAAAAGUUUCAAUGUGUGUGUGUGUGUGUGUGUGAGAGAGAGAGAGAAAGAGAAAAAUAGAGAAAUAAAUGACGUAUUUCUAUUUGAAAAUAACAAUGGGAAAAGUAGGUAAAAGGUGCAAGAUUCACAUAGUACCAUUCACUUGGAUAGAAACGAAUCCGACGAGACUACAAUAGGGACGCUGAUUGGUCAGUUUUGCCGCUGACGCGCUUAAACGGCCCGUAAUUUGUAAUCGUAUUAUCGGCCUGUCGAGAAUCGAUCGAUUCUCUCGUCGUUGCCAUACCGUUUCCUAGCUCUGUCCUCGGUUUUCGAGUUUGGUGGUUCGUCGGAUCAAGGAAACCGAAACUGCUUAUGGAUUAUUACAAUCUACGGAUUAUAUCCUUAUCGAUCGUUAAAUCGGAUGUAUUAUAUGUCUGAUCGUUUAAAAAGAUUUUCGAAAAAAAUGUCAUUGCAAGUUUCCUAACUUU